GUCUACACAAAUGCCACCAUGAAUGCUCCCUAUCUUGUCUGAUUUUGAAAGCUAAGCAUAGUUGGGCCUGUUAGUACUUGGAUGGGAUAAACU
rnacentral:rRNA from 1 species